GAUGAAGAACGUAGCGAAAUGCGAUAAGUAGUGUGAAUUGCAGAAUUCAGUGAAUCAUCGAAUCUUUGAACGCACAUUGCGCCUUCUAGUAUUCUGGGAGGCAUGCCUGUUUGAGCGUCAUUAAACCUUUCUCAAGUAUGAUUACUUGGAUGUGAAGGAAGAGUACCUUAAACUUAAGGAGUGUUCUCCUUUGAAAUUGAUUAGCAGAUGGUAAUGUUAUUAAAUCCCUGAUGUUGUAAGAAAUAACAGUGGUUUUGUAGACUAUUAUCUAGCUUUAAAUUAUAAUUUUUAUUAUGGUUGACCUCAAAUCAGGUAAGGAUACCCGCUGAACUUAAGCAUAUCAAUAAGCGGAGGA
rnacentral:misc_RNA from 1 species